CGGGUGGUAAUGCCGGAUGCUCCAGUUGGAUGCAUGUCCUUCUGGGAAAGAUUCAUCGGUAUGGGAUGGGGUCGCGUCCUAUCAGCUUGAUGGCGGGGUAACGGCCCACCAUGGCUUCGACGGGUAGCCGGCCUGAGAGGGCGACCGGCCACAUUGGGACUGAGAUACGGCCCAGACUCCUACGGGAGGCAGCAGUGGGGAAUAUUGCACAAUGGGCGCAAGCCUGAUGCAGCGACGCCGCGUGCGGGAUGACGGCCUUCGGGUUGUAAACCGCUUUUGACUGGGAGCAAGCCCUUCGGGGUGAGUGUACCUUUCGAAUAAGCACCGGCUAACUACGUGCCAGCAGCCGCGGUAAUACGUAGGGUGCAAGCGUUAUCCGGAAUUAUUGGGCGUAAAGGGCUCGUAGGCGGUUCGUCGCGUCCGGUGUGAAAGUCCAUCGCUUAACGGUGGAUCCGCGCCGGGUACGGGCGGGCUUGAGUGCGGUAGGGGAGACUGGAAUUCCCGGUGUAACGGUGGAAUGUGUAGAUAUCGGAAA
rnacentral:rRNA from 1 species